rnacentral:lncRNA from 1 species
UGUUUGAUUUUUCUUGUAAAUUUAUAGGAGAUAAUCCUACUUAAACAGUUUUCCAUUGUACAUUACACACACACGCACAACAAACAUUUACUUUAUGUAUAACCUUGUUUCCAUCAACAGUGUCAACUCUUAUAUUCAAUAAGUUGCAAUGCAUGAAUAUGUAUAAUGUGAUGAAGUUUGACCUUAUGCGCGAAUAUCUGGACAACACUACCUUAUAGAUCUGUGUUAUUAUUU